GUUCAAAUGAAGAAAGGCUUAUGGUGGAUAACUAGGUACCCAGAGACGAGGAAGGGCAUAGUAAGCGACGAAAUGCUUCGUGGAGUAGAAAAUAAGCAUAGAUAUGAGGAUUCCUAAUAUAGGUCAACCUUUCGAACUGCAACUGAAUCUAUGGGCAGGCAAGAGACAACAUGGUGAACUAAAACAUCUUGGUAGCUAGAGGAAAAGAAAGCAAAAGCGAUUCCCAUAGUAGCGCGAGCAAAAUGGGAGCAACCUAAAUCGUGAAAACGGGGUUGUGAGAGAGCUAUACAAGUGUCGUGCUGCUAGGCGAAGCAGCAGAGAAUGCUGCACCCUAGAUGGCGAGAGUCCAGUAGCCGAAAGCAUCACUAGCUUACACUCUGACCCGAGUAGCAUGGGCAUGUGGAAUCUCGUGUGAAUCAGCAAUGACCACCUUGGAAGGCAAAAUACUCCUGGGUUACUGAUAGUGAAGUAGUACCCGUGAGGGAAGGGUGAAAAGAACCCUCAUCGGGGAUUGAAAUAGAACAUGAAACUGUAAGCUCCCAUGCAGUGGGAGGAGGCUCGAGACUCUGAUCGCAUGCCUGUUGAAGAAUGAGUCGGUGACUCAUAGGCAGUGGCUUGGUUAAGGGAAACCACCGGAGCCGUAGCGAAAGCGAGUCUUCAUAGGGCAAUUGUCACUGCUUAUGGACCCAAACCUGGGUGAUCUGUCCAUGACCAAGAUGAAGCUUGGGUGAAACUAAGAGGAGGUCCGAACUGACUAAUGUUGAAGAAUCAGUGGAUAAGUUGUGGUUAGGGGUGAAAUGCCACUCGAACCCAGAGCUAGCUGGUUCUCCCUAAAAUCCGUUGAGGUGCAGUAGUUUACUAGACAUCUAGGGGUAAAACACUGUUUCGGUGCGGGCCAUGAGAGCGGUACCAAAUCGAGGCAAACUCUGAAUACUAGAUAUGACCUCAAAAUAACAAGGGUCAAGGUCGGCCAGUGAGACGAUGGGGGAUAAGCUUCAUCGUCGAGAGGGAAACAGCCCGGAUCACCAGCUAAGGCCCCUAAAUGACCGCUCAGUGAUAAAGGAGGUAGGGGUGCAGAGACAACCAGGAGGUUUUCCUAGAAGCAGCCACCCUUGAAAGAAUGCAUAAUAGCUCACUGAUCGAGCGCUCUUGUGCCGAAGAUGAACGGGGCUAAGCGAUCUGCCAAAGCUGUGGGGUGUAAAAAUGAAUCGGUAGGGGAGUGUACCAUCUUAGAGGGAAGGACCCAUGCGAGUAGUGCUGGACGAAGCAGAAGCGGGAAUGUUGGCUUGACUAACGCAAACGUUGGUAAGAAUCCAAUGCCUCGAAAACCCAAGGGUUCCUUCGUAAGGUUCAUCCACGGAGGGUGAGUCAAGGCCUAAGAUCCGGCCGAAGGGCGUAGUCGAUGGACAAAAGGUGAAUAUUCUUGUACUACCCUUUAUUGGACUCGAGGGAUGGAGGAGGCUAGGUUAGCCAAAAUAUGGUUAUCGGUUCAAGGACGCAAGGUGCCCCUGCUUUUUCAGAGUAAUAAGGGUAGAUAAAAUGCGUUGAGCCAAAGUUCGAGUACCAAGCGCUACAGCGCUGAAGUAAUCCAUGCCAUACUUCUAGGUAAAGCUUAAAUGACCUUCAAUAAAUGGGUACUUGUACCCGAAACCAACACAGGUGGGUAGGUAAAGAAUACCUAGGGGCACGAGACAACUCUCUCUAAGGAACUCAGCAAAAUAGCCCCGUAACUUCGAGAGAAGAGGUGCCUCCUCACAAAGGAGGUCGUUGUGACUAGGCUCGGGUGAUUGUUUACCAAAAACACAUGUCUCCGCAAAGUCGUAAGACCAUGUAUGGGGGCUGACACCUGCCAAGUGCCGGAAGGUCAAGGAAGUUAGUGACCAGAUGACAGGGGAUCCGAUGACCGAAGCCUCGGUGAACGGCGACCGUAACUAUAACGUCUUAAGGUAGCGCAAUUCCUUGUCAGGUAAGUUCCAACCCGCAUGAAAGGCAUAAUGAUUUGGGCACUGCCUCGGAGAGAGACUCGGUGAAAUAGACAUGUUUGUGAAGAUGCGGACUACCUGCACUUGGACAGAAAGACCAUAUGAAGCUUCACUGUUUCCUGGGAUUGGCUUUGGGCUUUUCCUGCGCAGCUUAGGUGGAGGGCAAAGAAGGCCUCCUUCUGGGGGGGCCAGAGCCAUCAGUGAGAUACCACUCUAGAAGAGCUAGAAUUCUAACCUUGUUCCAGGACCUACGAGCCGAGGGAUAGUCUCAGGUAGAUAGUUUCUAUGGGGCGUAAGCCUCCCUAAAGGUAACGGAGGCGUGCAAAGGUUUCCUCAGGCCAGACGGAGUUUGGCCCUCGAGUGCAAAGGCAGAAGGGAGCUUGAUUGCAAGACCCACCCGUCGAUUAUGGACAAAAGUCGGUCUUAAUGAUCUGACGAUGCCGAGUGGAAGGGCCAUCGCUCAAUGGAUAAAAGUUACUCUAGGGAUAACAGACUGAUCUUCCCUAAGAUCUCACAUGGAUGGGAAGGUUUGGCACCUCGAUGUCGGCUCUUCGCCACCUGAGGCUGUAGUAUGUUCCAAGGGUUUGGUUGUUCGCCCAUUAAAGCGGUACGUGAGCUGGGUUUAGAACGUCAUAAGAUAGUUCGGUCCAUAUCCAAUGUGGGCUUUAGAGCAUUGAGAGGACCUUUCCCUAGUAUGAGAGGGUCGGGAAGGACGCACCUCUAGUGUGCCAGUUAUUGUACCCACGAUAAACGCUGGGUAGCCAAGUACGAAAUGGAUAACUGCUGAAAGCAUCUAAGUAGUAAACCCACCCCAAGAUGAGUGUUCUUCUAUCCCGACUUCCCCAGAGCCUCCGAUAGCACAGCCGAGACAACGAUGGAUUCUCUGCCCCGGCAGGGAUGGAGCGAAAGAAGUUUUGAGAAU
rfam:Glycine soja cultivar W05 scaffold744_10, whole genome shotgun sequence.